GGGUGGAACCCAGACCAGGGUUCAAGGUCAAUGGACUGGGCCACAAAGGGGGUGCUUCAGAGCUCCAGAGUGCCCUGUGCAGCUACCCUGUACACCAUGGAGGAUUCUUCAAGCCUUCUUCAUAGGGGUCUCCAAGUGUUUGCCGUCCUGCAAUGGAUCUUUUCCUUCUUGGGACUUGGCCAGGUGUGCCUGGUGGCCUUGCUGCUCGCUGCCCUGGGCCGCACCUGGAUCCUGAUGGUCCUCUACCUGACCUGGCUCUACAGAGACAGAGACACACCCAGGGCUGGAGGCCGCCGCUCAGCCUGGGUCCGCAACUGGGCCAUCUGGAGACACUUCCGUGACUACUUUCCCAUCACGCUGGUUAAAACUGCGGAGUUGGACGCCUCCCAGAACUAUCUCUUUGGCUUCCACCCUCAUGGGGUCCUGGUCGUGGGAGCCUUCGCCAACUUCUGCACUGAGGCUACAGGCUUCUCCAGGCUCUUCCCUGGUCUGUGCCCGCACCUGCUCAUGCUGCCCUGUUGGUUCCGAGUCCCUUUCUUCCGGGACUACAUCAUGACCAGUGGCUUGGUCUCCUCUGACAAGGCCAGCGCCGCCCAUCUGCUGUCCCGUCCUGGGGGCGGCCAGGUGGCUGUCCUUGCAGUGGGAGGGCCCCUAGAAGCGCUGGAGGCAAAGCCCGGUGCCCUGAGCCUGCGGAUCCGGAAUCAGAAGGGAUUCGUUAAGCUGGCCCUGGAACAUGGGGCCUCCCUGGUGCCUGUCUUUUCCUUCGGGGAGAACGAGGUCUUCCAGCAGUUCCCGAAUCCGCCCGGUUCGUGGGUGCGGAGGGUGCAGGUGGCGCUGCAGCCCUUCCUGCGCGUGGCCCUGCCGCUGUUCCACGGCCGCGGGGGGCUCCCGCUGCCCUUCCGCGCGCCUAUCCGCACAGUCGUGGGCGCGGCGAUCCCGGUGCAGCGAACUCCGCGGCCCAGCCGCGCGCAGGUGGACGAGCUGCACGCGGUCUACGUGGAGCGCCUCACGCAGCUCUUCGAGGAGCACAAGGCUCGCUACGGGAUCCCCGCAGACCGGCACCUCGAGCUCACCUAGGCGGCCCCCCACCCCCGGCUCCGCCCUGUGCCCUUGGCGACUGCGGGCUGGGGAGUGGAAUUAAAGAUUGUCAAGUUCCUCACCCACGCAGUGUCCCUUCCACCUCUUUCCAGCUGGUGUCCAGCUUCUGCCUCCCUCUUAUCCUUCCUGACCCUCUGAAGGUGAAGACAGGAGAGCUGCCCCAGGAUGGGAAUAUGUGCUGGGUGCCAGCCCACAUGGUCUCCUGGGCACUGGACUCGUCUGUGAU